rnacentral:rRNA from 1 species
UGUCGUCUUGAUCCGGACCAUCAAUCAUUACUCGUGCGGGCCCCUCGGGGCCCAACCUCCCACCCGUGUUGCCCGAACCUAUGUUGCCUCGGCGGGCCCCGCGCCCGCCGACGGCCCCCCUGAACGCUGUCUGAAGUUGCAGUCUGAGACCUAUAACGAAAUUAGUUAAAACUUUCAACAACGGAUCUCUUGGUUCCGGCAUCGAUGAAGAACGCAGCGAAAUGCGAUAACUAAUGUGAAUUGCAGAAUUCAGUGAAUCAUCGAGUCUUUGAACGCACAUUGCGCCCUCUGGUAUUCCGGAGGGCAUGCCUGUCCGAGCGUCAUUGCUGCCCUCAAGCCCGGCUUGUGUGUUGGGCCCCGUCCCCCCCGCCGGGGGGACGGGCCCGAAAGGCAGCGGCGGCACCGCGUCCGGUCCUCGAGCGUAUGGGGCUUCGUCACCCGCUCUAGUAGGCCCGGCCGGCGCCAGCCGACCCCCAACCUUUAAUUAUCUCAGGUUGACCUCGGAUCAGGUAGGGAUACCCGCUGAACUUAAGCAUAUCAAUAAGCGGAGGAAAAGAAACCAACCGGGAUUGCCCUAGUAACGGCGAGUGAAGCGGCAAGAGCUCAAAUUUGAAAGCUGGCCCCCUCGGGGUCCGCAUUGUAAUUUGCAGAGGAUGCUUCGGGAACGGCCCCCAUCUAGUGCCCUGGAACGGGCCGUCAUAGAGGGUGAGAAUCCCGUCUGGGAUGGGGGUGGCCGCGCCCGUGUGAAGCUCCUUCGACGAGUCGAGUGUUUGGGAAUGCAGCUCUAUUGGGUGUAAUUUCAUCUAAGCUAAUAUGCCGGAGACCGAUAGCGCACAGUAGAGUGAUCGAAGAUGAAAGCACUUUGGAAGAGAGUAACAGCACGUGAAAUGUGAAAGGGAAGCGCUGGCACAGACUCGCCGCGGGGUUCAGCCGGCACUGCUGUGCG